GGAUGUGAGGGCAAUCUGGCUGCAACAUCUGUCACCCCAUUGAUCGCCAGGGUUCAUUCGGCUGAUCUGGCUGGCUAGGCAGUUGUCCCCUUCCUCCAUCACCACUCCAUGUGUGUCCCUCAUGAAGCUGCACGCUCGGUCAAAGAGGACAGCCUUCCCUGAAUAGAGAUGGACUGGUCUUUGGUCAAGGGUAUAAGAGUAGCUGCACUCCCCUGCUAGAACCUCCAAACAAGUUCUCAAGAUACAGGAAGUAAAAUCUUAUAAGCUACUUUUUUGUUGUUUUAUUAGUGAUUUAAUAAUGAUCAAG
rnacentral:snRNA from 1 species